GUAUGAAUUAUUCAUAAUUAUUAUUAAAGACGAUUUCAUGAAACGAUAAUGAUGUAUAAUAUGAUAUGAUAAUGAAAAUUUGAAUAUUAUAAUCCAUCCGUGACAUGGAGAUUUUUUUUCGUUUGUACGCCAAAACAAAACGAUUUCCACGGAAGUGCAGGUUGGAUGAUUUAUAUAACAUACGAUAUUUAUAAGUAAUAACAAGUGUUCGAGAUUUAAAGACCGCAUGGCGUGUCGCUAAGCAAAUCUGUAUGUUACUCAAAGAAAUAUUCAUAUGGUGGUGAGUUUUAUUUUUAAAAUAUUUUAACCUGAAAAAAUGAUGAAAUCAUAUUUUUAAAAGUGUACUUAUUGAAAUACCGUGUGUAAAUAGUGAUUUACCGAUAUAAAAA